rnacentral:rRNA from 1 species
UACGGAGGGUGCGAGCGUUGUUCGGAUUCACUGGGUAUAAAGAGUUCGUAGGCGGCCCCGUAAGUCAGAGGUGAAAGCUGUCGGCUCAACCGACAAAUUGCCUUUGAAACUGCAGGGCUUGAGUCCGGGAGAGGAAGGUGGAAUUCCUGGUGUAGCGGUGAAAUGCGUAAAUAUCAGGAGGAACACCGGUGGCGAAGGCGGCCUUCUGGCCCGGCACUGACGCUGAGGAACGAAAGCCAGGGGAGCGAACGGGAUUAGAAACCCUAGUAGUCC